CAUUCACGUGACCAGCUCAGAUAUUGUCCAUAGGAGAACAAAAUAUCUUGAUGAAAAUGAAUAAUUCAGCUAAUCACCCAGAUGUGGUAGCUAUAUGGUGCCACACAGCUGGAUGAUCUGAAACAGCUAGCUGUUUGGUGACUUGCAAAUAAAGCAUGUAGAUAAUAGAAUCUCUCUUUUUUUCCCUCCAGAUUUUUGGCAUCACUUAGACAUAAUCUAAAUGAUAUGGCAACAUAUGGUAAAAUCUCUCACAUUCAAAGGCAUGCAAGCAGCUAGCUAACACUUUCUACUAAAAAAAUUUGCUCAUAGGUAUGUUGAUGAAUAUAAGAUUCUUACAAAGCACAUCGUUUGAAAGAAAUAUGGCAGCAAAACAAACUGCUGCAUUCAAAGCAGGGAUAUUGAAAAAUGUCAGGCAAACAUUUUUAACCUCAUGUUUGUGUGCAGUCUGGUCAAAAGAGAAUAGAUUUUCUUUUAUGGAAGUAGUUUUAAAAGGGGCUAAAAGGCAAAGAUUUAGUGUUUGCAAGAAAUCCUUCAGGUUUGCCUAAGCUUCAAGAAUUCCGUCUUUGGCAUCCAGCUAUUCUCAUUAAAUAAAUAUUUUUUUGUUUCUGAUGUGUUCUGUUUGAAGGGGCCAGUUUAAUGUUAUGCUUUGAAAUUAAUUACUAUAGAAAGUCUAUGUAAAUAUGACUGUAAAACAGAAAUCAAACUGGACAGGACACAAAGUAGAUGAGUGGGAAGCUAAAAUAAACACCACAACAUGUGAGAGGUGGAAGGUUUAAAGAGUUUUUAGAUAGUCAGUAUGUUAGUUUCAAUUUGUAGAGCCCAAUCUUUAAGUGCUCUUCUGCAAAUAAGGGAUGAUUAAAGUUAUAGAGCAAGAAGAGAAUUUAUUGCAUUGGAUUUUUCAUUCCAAGUGCAGAGCUUUAAAGAAUAAGAGAAUCUGAGAACUGGGAUGGUAAAGAACAGCUAUCCAGGGUCACAAGUGUAAAUGCCUGAGCCCAUGCAAGUAAUUCACGGGAGUGAAGCAGGACAGAAAAUAGGCAUGUAGGCACAAUUGGGCAGCUCCAGGCAAAGAGGAGAGUAUCCUGGUGCAGAUAAUCAGCUCUAGCCUAUUGCCGCCAGGCAGGAAGCUGACUCAGCAUUAAGGGCUGCUCCAACUUUUUAGGAAAACCUGGAAUUCUAGCUUUUUAUGUACUGUUUCUAAAAUGUUUAAGUUUUGAUUCAUUCAUCAGUCAGCCUAGUGAUCUCCAGCUUGCUGCUUUUCAUCUAGUCUAUCCACACAUCUUAUAGAUGUGGAAACCAGGUCCAGAGAAGUCAGUGCCCUGCUGAAAGUCCAGUUGGGCUAAGUGGCAGCACUAGAACUUGAACCCAGAUUAUCUGCCUCCAGCAUUACUUCCACAGUGAAGACAGUGUUCUACUCAUAACAGGUUUCAACAAGUGAACAAUUCCAUAGAUUCAUAAAGGUUUUAAUAAUUAAAUUCUAGUAUACCCUUGGAAAUAUCUCUAAGAUUAUUAUUUACUCAAAAAAUUUUUGUCAUUUGUCUUUCUUAUAAAAUGUCUAUUUUUUUACUUCAUUCAGCUCACUUUUUCUUUUCCUAUAUUUAAUAUUUUUUUGUUGAACAAUGUUUCCACAUUCUCUCUGCUCUAUACAUAUAUCAUCUAAAUUUCUAUAUUUGACUCUUAUUCCUUGCAAAUUUUUGUCCUUUGUCUUUCUCAUAAAAUGUCUGAAUUUUUAAAAGUUUCAUUCAGCUCAUUCUUUCUUGCAUUUAAUAUUUUUUCUUUGUUGAAAAAUGCUUCCAUAUUCUCUUUACAUAUAUAUUAUCUAAAUUUCUAUAUUCAGCUCUUACUCCUUACAACUCAGUCUCUCAAGCUCUGAAUGGAUCUUUAAUUGAUUAUAUCAGAGGGGAGAAAAUAUAAAUUUGUAAAUCUGAACAUUAUGCAACUGGAGCUAGUUAAAAGAAUGCCUCUUCCAAGAAGGAUACCACUACAUAUUCCCCAUAGAAUAUGAGGAGGAUGCCCAUCUGUCUUCAAACCUUCAGAUCUUGAAUUCAAUGCCUGUAAGAGAAGAAGUACUUAAAGAGGCAGAUGUGCAUACUCUGGCUAGGACUUCUUUGUAUGACUUCAGAUAAUUUUUGGAAAAGUUUGUGUUCAAAGGUAUAAGGUGCAGGGAAAGAAAAACUGUUCUCAGGACACAGGGGUAAAACACAGUAAGGGGUCUAUUUCUCUUGGACUCUUAGCCACACCCAUACCAUAACACCAGGCUAGGGACAGUGUUUCUCACUUUUAUUUAGACUUGAUGGGAAAAUAUGCUGUGAUUCUGUUACUAAUAGUCUCCUACAUUUGAACUGCAUGUUAGUUCCCAAAAGACUUCCACAUGUUGCUUUCUUUAUUUUAUAAUGAGAAAACUGAGACUCAGAAAGGGUGAGAUACUUACUCAAUGUCUCCAGCCAAGUCAAGGAAGAGCUAGACUAGAACUGGAUCAAUUCCAGUUCUUCUGAGCACUCUUUUAUCUUUAGGGUUGCUCUAACCAGCCUCCAUGUCAUGACAAUCCAUGUUAGAUCACCUACUGGAAUGAUUUUGUACAUUUCCCUACCCUAGGUAAAGCCGUUGUAAAGACAAUGGCUAUACAUGAAAGCAAUUAAAAAUAUUAAUAGAAGUCUCUAUCGACUGAGGGCUGUUAUGGUAGAAAAGGAAGAAACAUUUUCCUGGCUAGGAUUUUCAUACUAGCAAAUUGGCUAUUCUGACUUAAAUUCAUAUUGUUACUAAUUGGUGUUAGAAUUUGUAUUCUUGACUGUGCAUGUGCUAAGUAGAGAUUUUCCUUACUUGUUUGAUUAUGGAAUAGUGCACACAUUUUACCUUAUGAAAGAAGGAAACAGCUUGUGCUGCCUCAGGAGGAAAUAUCUCAUCUAAUAAUUAUGCUUUGAGGCAUUGGCAUAGCUAAAUGCUGACCCAUGGGCAGGCCAUGGAAAGAAUCACGGAAAAAGCAGCUUUGUUCAGGGCUUUUUCCUAACUGGAUUUAUAAAACAAAUGUCUUUAGAGUAAAGCACUGGUGAAGCAGCAAACAGGCAGAUUAUUAAAGCAUCCAUCAUGAAGUUACAAGUGGGCCCAGGAAGGGUGCCAGUCCUUCUGACAGGGAUGCCUAGCUGAAAAUUUUUUGUGAAUUAUCAAGAGUUCCCCCAAAGAAACCUCUAGGCAGGAAAAAGGAAAAGACAAAGUGACUCCUUUGCAACUCUACUUCAGUAGUUUCUGAACUGUAGCUUCAGAAACCUAUCAAGGAAAGGGUCAGUUACAUAUAGGAGGCUGAGUUUUAGAGACUGGACAACUGAAUAUUCAGGAUUAUUGUAGUGACGGUACCUUGAGCAAGGCUACUUAUAGACUGGUUUGUUCAUAUGAAUGAGAACUACAUGUUUACAAUGUCAAGUGCUUUUUCUCAUCUGAUGAAAUGAUAGAAUAUGUCUUUUUGUAUUAAUAGAUUCACUUUUUAUUUAUGGUCUGAUUAACUAUACUGUAAUUCAAUUCAGUUCCUAUAGGAAUGUACUAAAUUUUUGCUUCACCCUCAGUUUUGGCCAAAUACUAUUUGGCUUUAGCUUUGGCCUUGGCCCCAUGACCCUUAAGGCCGAGUAACCAAAUGUUCUACUUCAGUGUUGUCAAUGACAUCUCUAAAUUUGGGAUGACCAGUGAUUGAGUGAUUGUGUUAGUUAUCAUCACGUAUAAUCAGCAUAAUAAAAUCAAUAAUAGGAACAAAUUCUGUCCAUCUGAAUAAUCACAUUAAAAUACAGGUAAACAAUAUGGAAUUCCUGUUGUGGCACAGAGAAAAGAGGAAAUGAAUCUGACUAGGAUCCAUGAGGAUACAGAUUUGAUCCCUGGCCCAGCUGAGUGGGUUAAGGAUCCUAUGUGGCUGUGGCUGUGGUGUGGGCCAGUUGUUGUAGCUCCAAUUUGACCCAUAGUCUGGGAACUUCCAUAUACCACA
rnacentral:lncRNA from 1 species